AUGCCUUGUGCUGUAGGCGUGUUGCUAUCACACCCUGUGGGCCAUUGCUUGGGCUUACUUGGAACUUAUCUGAAGUCACAGAUGGAGAGUUUGAUUCUGUGAUGCAAAAGGGAAAUAUAUCUGACUCAUCUUCCCCACACUCUGCUUCUGAAGCCUUCCUCAACUGGGAGAGGAAGAGAGUGGGUUGGUGGCCAGGGCUUCCCCUUCUCUUACAGCUGCUUCUCCUGACCCUCUUCACCUUCAUGGUUUUAAAGGCACCGCUGAAGUUAUUCCUGAAGAGCAAGGGCUGUGACAACCUUCUCUCUCACCUGCAAAUUGGGCCAGAAUCUUUCCUCCUUUGGAAUAAAUCUCACCUAGAAGAUUAUGGUGUAUCUGAAGAUUAAGAUUGGUGUAUGGUGUAUCUGAAGAUUAAGAAGAUUAAGGUGUAUACACCUUAUGGUGUAUCACCUAGAAGAUUAUGGUGUAUGACAGAGACAGACAGAGCAUGAGUGAGAGAGGAGCAGAGAGAGAGAGAGGGAG